rnacentral:rRNA from 1 species
UACGGGGGGGGGCAAGCGUUGUUCGGAAUUACUGGGCGUAAAGGGCUCGUAGGCGGCCAACUAAGUCAGACGUGAAAUCCCUCGGCUUAACCGGGGGAACUGCGUCUGAUACUGGAUGGCUUGAGUUUGGGAGAGGGAUGCGGAAUUCCAGGUGUAGCGGUGAAAUGCGUAGAUAUCUGGAGGAACACCGGUGGCGAAGGCGGCAUCCUGGACCAACACUGACGCUGAGUGAGCGAAGGCCAGGGGAGCAAACGGG